rnacentral:rRNA from 1 species
UCUGGCGGCGAGUGGCGAACGGGUGAGUAAUAUAUCGGAACGUGCCCUGGAGUGGGGGAUAACCAGUCGAAAGACUGGCUAAUACCGCAUACGAUCUACGGAUGAAAGUGGGGGAUCGCAAGACCUCAUGCUCGUGGAGCGGCCGAUAUCUGAUUAGCUAGUUGGUGGGGUAAGAGCCCACCAAGGCGACGAUCAGUAGCUGGUCUGAGAGGACGACCAGCCACACUGGGACUGAGACACGGCCCAGACUCCUACGGGAGGCAGCAGUGGGGAAUUUUGGACAAUGGGGGCAACCCUGAUCCAGCAAUGCCGCGUGUGUGAAGAAGGCCUUCGGGUUGUAAAGCACUUUUGUCCGGAACGAAACGGUGAAGGUUAAUACCCUUUGCUACUGACGGUACUGGAAGAAUAAGCACCGGCUAACUACGUGCCAGCAGCCGCGGUAAUACGUAGGGUGCAAGCGUUAAUCGGAAUUACUGGGCGUAAAGCGUGCGCAGGCGGUUGUGCAAGACAGAUGUGAAAUCCCCGGGCUCAACCUGGGAACUGCAUUUGUGACUGCACGGCUAGAGUGUGUCAGAGGGGGGUAGAAUUCCACGUGUAGCAGUGAAAUGCGUAGAGAUGUGGAGGAACACCGAUGGCGAAGGCAGCCCCCUGGGAUAACACUGACGCUCAUGCACGAAAGCGUGGGGAGCAAACGGGAUUAGAUACCCUGGUAGUCCACGCCCUAAACGAUGUCAACUAGUUGUCGGGGAUUAAUUUCCUUGGUAAC